rnacentral:rRNA from 1 species
UACCCAUGUCUUUUGAGUACCUUACGUUUCCUCGGUGGGUUCGCCCACCGAUUGGACAAAUUUAAACCCUUUGCAGUUGAAAUCAGCGUCUGAAAAAACUUAAUAGUUACAACUUUCAACAACGGAUCUCUUGGUUCUGGCAUCGAUGAAGAACGCAGCGAAAUGCGAUAAGUAGUGUGAAUUGCAGAAUUCAGUGAAUCAUCGAAUCUUUGAACGCACAUUGCGCCCCUUGGUAUUCCAUGGGGCAUGCCUGUUCGAGCGUCAUUUGUACCUUCAAGCUCUGCUUGGUGUUGGGUGUUUGUCUCCUGUAGACUCGCCUUAAAACAAUUGGCAGCCGGCGUAUUGAUUUCGGAGCGCAGUACAUCUCGCGCUUUGCACUCAUAACGACGACAUCCAAAAGUACAUUUUUACACUCUUGACCUCGGAUCAGGUAGGGAUACCCGCUGAACUUAAGCAUAUCAAUA